rnacentral:rRNA from 1 species
AUUGAACGCUGGCGGCAGGCUUUACACGUGCAAGUCGAACGGGGUGAUUGUGUUGGCCCUAUCACUUAGCGGCGGACGGGCGCGUAAUGGGCAGGAAUCUGCCUAUAAGUUGGGGGCAACAUCGCGAAAGGGAUGCUAAUACCGCUUACAUUCUAUGCGUGAAAGAAGGGAAUUAAUGGGCACCUUGCGCUAUUAGAGGAGCGCAAGUCGGGUUAGCAGGUUGGUGGGGUGAAGGCCUACCCAGGUGACGAUCGUGAGCGGGUCUGAGAGUAUGACCCGCCACACUGGGACUGAGACACGGCCCAGACUCCUCCGGGAGGCAGCAGUGGGGAAUAUUGGACAAUGGGGGGAACCCUGAUCCAGCCAUGCCGCGUGUGUGAAGAAGGCCUUAUGGUUGUAAAGCACUUUAAGCGAGGAGGAGGCUCUUUUGGUUAAUACCCAAGAUGAGUGGACGUUACUCGCAGAAUAAGCACCGGCUAACUCUGUGCCAGCAGCCGCCGUAA